UAUCUCAAAUGGUAAAGAAUCUGCCUGCAAAGCAGGAGACCCAGGUUCGAUCCCUGG
rnacentral:tRNA from 1 species